GAUGAAGAACGCAGCAAAAUGCGAUAAGUAAUGUGAAUUGCAGAAUUCAGUGAAUCAUCGAAUCUUUGAACGCACAUUGCGCCGCCAGUAUUCUGGCGGGCAUGCCUGUUCGAGCGUCAUUUCAACCCUCAAGCACAGCUUGGUGUUGGGACUCGCGUUAAUUCGCGUUCCCCAAAUUGAUUGGCGGUCACGUCGAGCUUCCAUAGCGUAGUAGUAAAACCCUCGUUACUGGUAAUCGUCGCGGCCACGCCGUUAAACCCCAACUUCUGAAUGUUGACCUCGGAUCAGGUAGGAAUACCCGCUGAACUUAAGCAUAUCAAUAAGCGGAGGA
rnacentral:misc_RNA from 1 species